rnacentral:rRNA from 1 species
UGGUGGGUAGUUUGACUGGGGCGGUCUCCUCCCAAAGAGUAACGGAGGAGCACGAAGGUUAGCUAAUCACGGUCGGACAUCGUGAGGUUAGUGCAAAGGCAUAAGCUAGCUUGACUGCGAGAGUGACGGCUCGAGCAGGUACGAAAGUAGGUCUUAGUGAUCCGGUGGUUCUGAAUGGAAGGGCCAUCGCUCAACGGAUAAAAGGUACUCCGGGGAUAACAGGCUGAUACCGCCCAAGAGUUCAUAUCGACGGCGGUGUUUGGCACCUCGAUGUCGGCUCAUCACAUCCUGGGGCUGAAGUAGGUCCCAAGGGUAUGGCUGUUCGCCAUUUAAAGUGGUACGCGAGCUGGGUUUAGAACGUCGUGAGACAGUUCGGUCCCUAUCUGCCGUGGGCGUUGGAAGAUUGAGAGGGGCUGCUCCUAGUACGAGAGGACCGGAGUGGACGAAUCACUGGUGUUCGGGUUGUCAUGCCAAUGGCAUUGCCCGGUAGCUAAAUUCGGAAGAGAUAACCGCUGAAAGCAUCUAAGCGGGAAAC